rnacentral:rRNA from 1 species
GAUGAACGCUGGCGGCGUGCCUAAUACAUGCAAGUCGAGCGAACAGACGAGGAGUUUGCUCCUCUGACGUUAGCGGCGGACGGGUGAGUAACACGUGGAUAACCUAUCUAUAAGACUGGGAUAACUUCGGGAAACCGGAGCUACUACCGGCUAAUAUAUUGAACCGCAUGGUUCAAUAGUGAACGACGGUUUUGCUGUCACUUAUAGAUGGAUCCGCGCCGCAUUAGCUAGUUGGUAAGGUAACGGCUUACCAAGGCAACGAUGCGUAGCCGACCUGAGAGGGUGAUCGGCCACACUGGAACUGAGACACGGUCCAGACUCCUACGGGAGGCAGCAGUGGGGAAUCUUCCGCAAUGGGCGAAAGCCUGACGGAGCAACGCCGCGUGAGUGAAGAAGGUCUUCGGAUCGUAAAGCUCUUUUAUCAGGAAAGAAAAAAUGUGUAAGUAACUAUGCGCGGCUUGACGGUACCUAAUCAGAAAGCCACGGCUAACUACGUG